UUUGCUAAUCCACCACAAAUUCCCUUCACUCAUAUCUCCAACGUUCCCUCUAUAUAUACCCACCUUGCUUUUAUUCUCUCCCUUGAGACCACAAGCUCAUCACCUUCAACUUCAACUCUUCAAUUAACAACUUCUUCUCCCACCUACCCAAUUGAGUUUUCAUUCAAAGUACGAAAUAUGUCAACUAGUAGUGGUGUGUUCUCAUCACUUAGGAGUUCUAAGGUUCGACCAUGGGGAAGGUGUUCCAAGUACAUUCGCCAACAGAGGACCAGGCUUUACAUCAUUUGGAGAUGCACUGUCUUACUCUUGUGCUGGCACGAGUAAUUUUUUUUUUUUUUUGUACAUAUCACAUGUAUGCUUCACCGGAAGUAAAGUAAUCUGCUCAAGUCAGACAAACAAUAAUUAUGAACGACAAAGUUCUCCCUCUAAGUAUGUCUGGCAAGAGUAAUUAAUUGAUUACAAAUUAUCGCUGCUUGGUGCCACUGCAAGUUUAAGUUUGGGGUUCCAAUUUUUUAUGAUUACUUGAUCAUGAUUUGUGUUUUGUAUGUAAAGAAACUAGAUGAAGCAGGGUACCUCCUGAUUAAUGUGUAAAUUAGUAUAUAUAUAUAGAGAGAGAGACAGUAAAGAAGUCAAUGAUGUUAAGCUGAAGUGAUUGUAAGCUUGGCUUCAGGCCCUUUCAUUGAUUCUAGUUUUUUACAUGACACACCUUUUGUAAAUGAACUUCUUCAGUCUUUGCUUUUUGGUUUUAUGAUAAAUUAAUGCCACUGUACCAAAAUCAGAGGGUUCAAUUUCUG
rnacentral:lncRNA from 1 species